CUACAAAUCAACUAUCCCUACAACUAAGAAAGCAUAUACAAUCAGAUUUUAUACUCUGUGGUAAUUUAAUAUGUCUUCUCUCCCUCCCUAUUGCAAUGUUAUAUGAUUGUUGUUGAUUAGGUCUACUAUCACCUUCUUCAUUAAGAACCUGCACUUUAUUUCCUAGAAUAUUGAACUAAACUUCUAGCUCUACUUGUUUGAUUAUACUAUUAUCUUCUCCUUCUAACUGUUUAGUGAAGCAGACUCAUUAAAUAUCUCAUAUCUGCUGAUAAUCAACCCUGGAGAAAUAUGCACUUCACUACACCAC
rnacentral:lncRNA from 1 species